rnacentral:rRNA from 1 species
CCUACGGGUGGCAGCAGUAGGGAAUCUUCGACAAUGGGCGAAAGCCUGAUGGAGCAACGCCGCGUGGAUGAAGAAGGCCUUCGGAUCGUAAAACUCUGUUGAUAGAGAAGAAAGUGCGUGAGAGUAACUGUUCACGUUUGGACGGUAUCUAACCAGAAAGCCACGGCUAACUACGUGCCAGCAGCCGCGGUAAUACGUAGGUGGCAAGCGUUAUCCGGUUUUAUUGGGCGUAAAGGGAGCGCAGGCGGACUUUUAAGUCUGAUGUGAAAGCCUUCGGCUUAACCGGAGUAGUGCAUUGGAAACUGGGAGACUUGAGUGCAGAAGAGGUGAGUGGAACUCCAGGUGUAGCGGUGAAAUGCGUAGAUAUAAGGAAGAACUCCGGUGGCGAAGGCAGCUCUCUGGUCUGUAACUGACGCUGAGGUUCGAAAGCGUGGGUAGCAAACAGGAUUAGAUACCCGGGUAGUC